CAAACAACCCGCACAGCUGUGACUGCGGGUGACAAAUGACUUCGGCAGCACGACUGUCAUGGCUUCUCCCUAAUGCAGUGUUUGGCAUCCAGCUCAAAACAGAAAUAAAUAAGGCGAUAUGAUCCGCUAAUGAAAUUUGCUGCUUGUUUGAAACUGAACACUGAACAGAAGGUUGAAAAAAACGAGGGACCAGAGGACUAACUCACCAAAGGCAGUAAGACACAGAUGAAAAAUAUUCGCUAGCAUUGAGCUGUUGGUGUUAUCAGCAUUAAUAAACAAUGCCCAUACUUAGAA